GCGNNAAUUCGAUUAGAGUUUGAUCAUGGCUCAGAGCGAACGCUGGCGGCAGGCUUAACACAUGCAAGUCGAGCGCCCGUAGCAAUACGGGAGCGGCAGACGGGAGAGUAACACGUGGGAACGUACCCUUCGGUUCGGAAUAACCCAGGGAAACUUGGGCUAAUACCGGAUACGUCCGUAAGGAGAAAGAUUUAUCGCCGAGGGAUCGGCCCGCGUCCGAUUAGCUAGUUGGUGGGGUAAUGGCCCACCAAGGCGACGAUCGGUAGCUGGUCUGAGAGGAUGAUCAGCCUCACUGGGACUGAGACACGGCCCAGACUCCUACGGGAGGCAGCAGUGGGGAAUAUUGGACAAUGGGCGCAAGCCUGAUCCAGCCAUGCCGCGUGGGUGAUGAAGGCCUUAGGGUUGUAAAGCCCUUUCGGCGGGGAAGAUAAUGACGGUACCCGCAGAAGAAGCCCCGGCUAACUUCGUGCCAGCAGCCGCGGUAAUACGAAGGGGGCUAGCGUUGCUCGGAAUCACUGGGCGUAAAGCGCACGUAGGCGGAUCGUUAAGUCAGGGGUGAAAUCCUGGAGCUCAACUCCAGAACUGCCUUUGAUACUGGCGACCUUGAGUU
rnacentral:rRNA from 1 species